GGGAGGGAGGGGGAUGAAAGGAAGGUUUUAAGGGCGAACGGAAGGUUUGGGAGUUGGAAGUUGGCGAGGAGUACUCGAAGAGGCCAUCACGGAGGAGUGAGAGGUCGGGUCUACCAAGGGUGGCCUGGGCAGUUUAGGCGGCGGGCUUCCAAGGGCCAGGCGAGGCGCCGCGGGGGAGAUGGCGGCCACGUCGGCCAUCAUGUUCCCGGCCGGGCCCUUGUCCAGCAAAUCCUCCCUCACCGUGUUCUCCACGCUCGGCGACGAUGGCCCGCCGUCCGUCCCGCCGCCCAUCCUCGACGACUGGCACCUGAACUCCGGCCCAUCCGGCUCGUUCUUGAACACGAAGCACUUCGGGGCCAGCACGUACGGCGUCACCAGCGCCCUGCGCGAGGUUAGCUGCCUACUCGAAUACUGGUUUCGAACUGUCUCUGCUCACUUGAAAAUGUUUUUGUGUUCACGUACGUUUUCGAAUCCAAAUAUUAAGCGUAAUAAAUUCCCUAUCAAUUGGACGUUUAAGUCGAUAUUUCGAUGAAUGGAUGAAAAUUAAUUUCAAUCGUAAUAUUUGAAGAUUCACCUACAAUUCACGAACAACGAAACGUACUUAAUAAUUAUAACCUCAAACAGAAAAAAUAAUUUUACAUUUAUCCAACGACGUAUAAAUAUUUCCAUUCCAACAAGAUUCUUGAAUUAAAGAAACGAAAAAAGACGAGAUCACGGUAAGUUACUCGAAUUCUCUCGUUUUUGUCGAAAAUCCUUUCAAUUUUGCUCGCGGAAGCUGGAAUAACUAGAGAAGAAGGGUAUUGCGAUUAUAAAAACUUGGAGGAAGCGGAUCACGAUAGAAGGAAGGCACGAUGGGCAAGAAAUAUAGGAAGAGGAAAGGAGAGAUAAAGCGAGUCGAGGCAUAAAAUGGCUCUCGGUUCUCGAACUUGUCGAGUAAUGUAUUUCUAUUUGCCGACAUUGGCACCCAAGCGGCCGGCCCGUUCCAAGCGCAACCGACUCUUAUUUAUCCGUGGAACCGCGAACCCGCCGACCAUGCGAGAGCCAACAAAUCAAAAUCGACAAAGGGAACUGUCGGCGCUUCGCUCGUGGCCGACGUGGUGAAGAGUGGCCCGAAGAAGAAACAUUUGUACGAGUAAAUCAACCGGGGAAUGGUACGUGCUUCCCGAACAAUGGAUACCUUGUCGGAGUAAGAGAGGGGAGGAGGAAGGAGGGAAUUCCGCCAAGGAACGAAGCCUAAGAGACCUGUUUAUUUCCGAUUGAUUAAAGGCGGAAAGCGGAGAGGAGUAGGAGAUCGCGUGAAAAAUGGAAUUGGGAUUACAGGUACAAGGUGGAGAGAAGGAGAGAUGGUUGGAUGGAAUUAUAAAGGUGUACGAAGAAAUUUUCUUUUUAACUAUUUUAAACAAAAGUUUUAUCGAUUUAACCGCUUCGAAAUGAACCGAAAUUUCGCUCAGAACAAAGAGGUAUAUUAACAAGAUGUAUUUCGAGUAAAUCCUUUGGCUGUAUCUAUUUGAUAUUCAUAAAUUUUAUAUAUUCGAAAAGAUAAAUUCAAUCCGUUUACGUUAAUUUCACUCUAAAAUUCGUGCAAAAGUUAAAAAGAAAAAUCACAAUUUCAACUAUCUACUUUCAAAAUUAUUCAUACACUCAGUCUAAGUAUCCACUUUACAAAACUUAAAAAUUAAUCUCCAUCUCCAUCUUAUUAAUCACCAAUCAUCCAAAAACAUUGAUGCACCAUUAAUUUCAGUGUAAGACCUGCUACUAACCUGCAAAAACUAAGAAAAGGAGCAGCCAAAUUUCUCCUCAAAUCAAAAAGGGUAUAACGCAUCGAACAAAAAAGAACAGAGAUCAGAGAAAGAAGAAGAGGAAGAAGAGGAGAGGGAGCAUUUGUUCAGACGGACGGAUGAAUAUGGCGGAGAGCGUGCAAGCUGUGGUGGAGGCUCGAUGUGGGCAGUACGGUAACCUUCCCGGACAAUGGGUAUCUUGUCGAAGGAUCUACGGGUUAGCGGCAAGAUAAUAGAACGCGGCAGUGUCCGAGGUGGUAGUAUAAAGCUGGAAGGUGGAGUCACCUGUAAAAUGUCGGCACAAUGCCCGACCACGUCACAGGUGUCUCGCGCCGUGAAAGUCCGCCAGGAGUGCGUCAACCGGAGCCCACGUAUCCACGGGACAAUGAGUAAAUAGCCGUUGGAUCGAUUGGACGCGUUGUAAUUGCCCCGCCCGAUCCGAUAUUAGUCGUUUAAUUUAUCGACGAUCGACAUUUCAGCUCCGGUAAUUCUACUCCAAGAUCCCUGAAGAGCUGCGCUUAAAGAUACUCAUGAUUUUCUCAACGAAUAUAUAUAUAGAAGAUUGAUCAUUAACGAUUCCGAUUUUCGAGCAGCUUAACUGUGGUUUAUAAACUAAAAUUAUAGUCAAAGGCAGGUGUAUAUGAACAAUAUGUUAAUUUUUGAUAAUAUCGAAUAUAGGCUGUGGUUUAAAUGCAACAUUAAAAUAGAUAAUCACUUUAGUGAUAUAAUUUAAAAUUGGAAUGUAUAUAUUUAUUUUAUAUAUUUUAUUUUACUUAUUGUUGAUUGUAAAAUGAACUACUAUUUUUUAUCCUACUUUUAUCUUUAUACAAGAUAAAAGUUUCAUUACUGUUCGAGUUUCUUUCAAAGUAUAUUUUUGUGAACUCUCUAAUAUCGAUAAACCUUCUACUUUUUCCAGUUCCUCAAGAAAAAGGUUGAUCAAAAAAUAUUGACGAAUAUAGCGAUGAGGUUUUAGUAUAAAUUUCAAGUUUCUGUAAUAACAACUUACACGUUUCAUUACACUAUACUUUCUAUACUUCUUCUAAUUUAUACAAUUAUAAUUAUAAUUGUACCGUCUAUUACGAUUUGAUCUUACUAAAAUAUUUUUUUUAGAUCUGUAAAGUAGCCGCAGUUAAAGAAAAGAGGUCGCAAGAGUUCCCUUCUCUCCCCUGUCACGAAUUCAGAAUCAGAAGCGAGAUAUCUCUUGGAGAGGAAAAAAUUCACAAAGGGAAAGAACAUUGGCCAGGAAUCAAAUCGUGGAAACGGAUCUCGCGCGAUGGCGAUCCAUCAAACGGCGGAGAAAAGAGAGAAAGAGGGAGAGACGGGGCCGCCUACCGUUACGUAGCAUUCCAAAGGGAGUGUAGCAGCGGUAUCUGCGAAGAUGGAGGCCCGAUACGCACCCGAUAAUACCGAAGGAUGAAUCAUCGGACGGCGGAGGAAGUGGCCGGUGAAAAUGUCCGGUUUAGGCGAAGGGGCGGGGGUGGCGAAACUCUUUCGUGGUCGCGCUAACGAAGAGGGUUCCCGGGUGCCGAUAGACGAUCUGAGCACGGCUGGAACGUCUCGGAUCGAGCAUCGCAUCUGCCAUUAGCAUUCGGCCAACCUCUCCUCUCGCCUCGAUGGUGCGACGUCCGCUGUUUAGAUUCGAUGCUCGGCCGGGUAGUCGUGCACGAUUCCAUCAAAACGUACCAGCUGAUCAGGAUGCGCUCACUCGUCCACCACGGUUAAUUUAUCUCGUCCUCUCCUUCUGGCCUCUGCCGGACGGCUACCGCCCUCUAUUUCCGCCCCGGUAUCGAGAUAUCGGAUCAAUGCUUUCUCGUUUUCGAGAGGGACGAGAAUUCGUGAUUUCUAACGAGAGGAGAAUCGAUGCUCGAGUUAUUUCUAUCAGAAUGUUGACGAGCGAGGAGACAAACUUGUUAACCAUUGAUGAGAUAUGCGUUUCUAAUGGAGAAUCAGGUUCUAUUUUUUCUUUUUUAUCGGAAGAGUAUGCCUGUGCUGGCGAAAAAUAAUUGGCCGAAAUCGAAUCACUCGAAGAAGACAAUCUCGAACAAAGUAUUAACUGAAUUGACAAAAUUAUUGAUACUUUUAUAAGAUACAAAGGAAAUUCAUUUUACAAAUUUUUUUCAUACGAUUCUCUCUCUACAAUCUCGUCUGAAAAUAUUACUACCAGAAUAAUAAAUAUAACAAACUUUUUUUCAUGAACAAAAUAUAAGAAAAAAUUCGUUUCUUCUCUCUCUCUCGAAAAAAGGAAACGACUGCUCGAAAUGAAGGUUAGGAGAAGAGGUUAGGAGCAGUGCGCAACACGUGCGCGCGUGGAAAACGUUCCAUUAACGCGAUCCACGCGGUGUGCGCGGCGCGGCAUAAAACCACGCCACGACGAGGCCCCGGGUCGAAGUUGCAUCGAUGCGUGGCUCGGUGAAACAGUAUAUCCAUAAUGCAUCUACCACGCCCCGAGCAACUUCCAUCUCGCGACCCGCGCCACGGAUACCCGUCUCUCGAUUCCACCUCGAAUCGAGUUUUACACACACGUGCACGUAGCGUUUACACUUACACGUACGCGGGCCCUUCCUCGUGCCCCGAUAAAAGCCUCGUUGCGCGCUAAUAAACGCGAGGGGCAACGAUCAGAGCCUCCUCAACGUCCGCCUCGGAUCCGUCGAUGUCGAUGCCGAUUCGACCAGCCCUUAAUGGUACGUGGAAACGAUUUGGAUCGACCGAAGCGCAAGUUGAUUCAAUAACGAAACGCUUGUCUGGGGAGGGAAUAUGUAUAUGAUGCUCGUUGAGAUAGAUUUUCAAGAUAUUUUAUUCUGAGGUGAAGUCUCGAACGAAGAGAAAUUGUGAAAAUUCGUGCGAAGUUGGAAUUGAGGAUUGGAAAAUUGAAGAGUUUCUUGGAGUAAAUGAUAUUCAAUUCGAUUUUGGCGCUACGAUUGUUAGUAUUUUAAUUAAUUGUCGAGAUAACUUUACUAGUAGCUAUUUUAUUUUGGCCAUAGUUGGUGAUAAGUAAUAAUGGAGAAUUCGAAUAAUGAUUCGUUUUGAAAUUAUUUUAAUAAAAUUGUAUUUAUUUAUAACGGAAGUUUCCAUCGAAAAGGAAGUUUAGAGAAAGGAAAGAAAAGUAAAGGUACACACAUAAAGAAAAAGAAUAAUGAAUUACGAAGAUAAUUGGUUGCAUCUUCAUUAAAGGAAACCAGAAUGCGUCGUGUCUCGAGACACUUGCGAGCAAACUAAAUUACAUGGUUACAGUGUCGUUAUUAAUAGGCAUUUUGCCUGUAGUGAAGUGUAAUUUAAAUGGGACGAAAUUAAUUUGCGGGAUCUUUUAUUAUUCACUUUCGUGCAGAUAAGAUCGCGAAAGAGCGUUCCCUCUCACGAAUUAUCUCGUUAAUCAUAAAGAAUCGGGGAGAAAGUAAAAAAUAAUUGGAGUCGAUAAACAAGAUAAAUAAAUAUAUAUAUAUAUAAUGCAUUUUUAUACUAUACGAAUUUAAUAGGAUAACAAUCGAUAUUUUUUUUAAUAAUAAUUAUGUAAUUUUAAUUUAGCGUAAUAUAUAUUUACGCGGAAAAAUACGAAAAUUGUUUUUGUAAUUUAUAUUCAAAUUCAAUUAUUGAUAUCGAACAAACGGUAUGUCGUUAAAACUGAGGAUUGUAAAUAAAAAUCCGUUUAAAAUAAAUAAAAUUGUCGAACUACUUCUCGAAUUUUAUAAUUUACGUGAUUCGAUGGUAUAAAUUUGAUAGCGUAAUCGAAAUAUUAUUUACUUGUCAAUAAUUUUCGAAUCGCAUGGAGGGAAAACGUUGAAAUUGAUUUUCUCCAGUGCAUAUACAUCGAAAUUGCAUCCCUAAUUGCAACGAUGUAAUUAAAAAACGGCGAGACGUGGAACGAGACGAGUACAAAGUUGUGGCCGAAGAGUGGCGAUUCUUGUCUUUCGAAGGGGUCAAGCGCAAUUUAAGAUAACGCGAAUUUUUCUAAUGCGGUUACCCGCAUUCGAGUUGUUGCACGCUUAUCAAACGUUGUUAUCAUCGUGCAAUUAUCGGGCAUAGUUGCAUGUCUACUUACAACUAGCACUCGAACGCUUUAAACUUUAAUUAUUGAAGGUGUUGGCCGAGCUCUCGACGAUGAAGUAGCUAUUCCAGCUUCUCUCGUAUCUUUCCCAACCGGAACAUUGACCGAUGAAAAUACGUAUACGUGAAAGAACGAUGGAAAUUGUAAAGCAUCGUAUCUUUCGAUGAGAAAUAAAUUCCGUCGAAGGAUAGAGUUGGACUAUUUUAUACUCGUAAAGAUUGAUUUAAGUUUGGAAUAUUAAGUUAAAAUUGGCCACAAAAGUACAUAACCGGUUAUUUAAUAUCGCUUACGAUCGUAUUUUUUAUAAAAUUAAGAAACUUUUUAACCUGAAAAUGUCAAACGGAAUGUAGAAAUGAUUUAGGUUUUUAUUAAUGAAUACUGAUAAAAGAUAGAAAAUAUCGUUUACUUAAUUUGAAAAUGUAUAAAUCAACAUUUAUUUAAAAAUCAAUAUUUUUGCAAAUAAAAUAUACGAAUAAUAAAGUUAA